ACGCUGGCGGCGUGCCUAAUACAUGCAAGUAGAACGCUGAAGAGAGGAGCUUGCUCUUCUUGGAUGAGUUGCGAACGGGUGAGUAACGCGUAGGUAACCUGCCUUGUAGCGGGGGAUAACUAUUGGAAACGAUAGCUAAUACCGCAUAACAAUGGAUGACCCAUGUCAUUUAUUUGAAAGGGGCAAAUGCUCCACUACAAGAUGGACCUGCGUUGUAUUAGCUAGUAGGUGAGGUAACGGCUCACCUAGGCGACGAUACAUAGCCGACCUGAGAGGGUGAUCGGCCACACUGGGACUGAGACACGGCCCAGACUCCUACGGGAGGCAGCAGUAGGGAAUCUUCGGCAAUGGGGGCAACCCUGACCGAGCAACGCCGCGUGAGUGAAGAAGGUUUUCGGAUCGUAAAGCUCUGUUGUAAGUCAAGAACGAGUGUGAGAGUGGAAAGUUCACACUGUGACGGUAGCUUACCAGAAAGGGACGGCUAACUACGUGCCAGCAGCCGCGGUAAUACGUAGGUCCCGAGCGUUGUCCGGAUUUAUUGGGCGUAAAGCGAGCGCAGGCGGUUUGAUAAGUCUGAAGUUAAAGGCUGUGGCUCAACCAUAGUUCGCUUUGGAAACUGUCAAACUUGAGUGCAGAAGGGGAGAGUGGAAUUCCAUGUGUAGCGGUGAGAUGCGUAGAUAUAUGGAGGAACACCGGUGGCGAAAGCGGCUCUCUGGUCUGUAACUGACGCUGAGGCUCGAAAGCGUGGGGAGCGAACAGGAUUAGAUACCCUGGUAGUCCACGCCGUAAACGAUGAGUGCUAGGUGUUGGAUCCUUUCCGGGAUUCAGUGCCGCAGCUAACGCAUUAAGCACUCCGCCUGGGGAGUACGACCGCAAGGUUGAAACUCAAAGGAAUUGACGGGGGCCCGCACAAGCGG
rnacentral:rRNA from 1 species